rnacentral:rRNA from 1 species
CCGCCUACCAUGCAAGUCGAACGGUAACAGGAUGUGUUGCACAUCGCUGACGAGUGGCGGACGGGUGAGUAAUGCUUGGGAACUUGCCUUUGCGAGGGGGAUAACAGUUGGAAACGACUGCUAAUACCGCAUAAUGUCUUCGGACCAAACGGGGCUUAGGCUCCGGCGCAAAGAGAGGCCCAAGUGAGAUUAGCUAGUUGGUAAGGUAAAGGCUUACCAAGGCGACGAUCUCUAGCUGUUCUGAGAGGAAGAUCAGCCACACUGGGACUGAGACACGGCCCAGACUCCUACGGGAGGCAGCAGUGGGGGAAUAUUGCACAAUGGGGGAAACCCUGAUGCAGCCAUGCCGCGUGUGUGAAGAAGGCCUUCGGGUUA